rnacentral:misc_RNA from 1 species
GAUGAAGAACGUAGCAAAAUGCGAUAAGUAAUGUGAAUUGCAGAAUUCAGUGAAUCAUCGAAUCUUUGAACGCACAUUGCGCCCGCUGGUAUUCCGGCGGGCAUGCCUGUUCGAGCGUCAUUUUGACCACUCCCGCUUGCGGGGUCUUGGGCCUUCGCCUCUGGGCGGGCCUUAAAAUCAGUGGCGGUGCCGUCCGGCUCUAAGCGUAGUAAAUCUCCUCGCUAUAGGGUUCCGGAGGGAUGCUGGCCAACAACCCCCAACUUUUAAGGUUGACCUCGGAUCAGGUAGGGAUACCCGCUGAACUUAAGCAUAUCAAUAAGCGGAGGA